rnacentral:lncRNA from 1 species
GAAAAAAUGCGGCAAAUGAGAAAAAAAAUAAACUUACACUCGAAGAUUGUGGUAUACAAGUUUAAAAAAAUGACGGGGAUAGGCCUAUAGUUUCUAGAUUGAUAUCUACAAAUUCCUUUCAAUCACCUCAAGCUUUUGAAAUAGAUAGCUUUGCAAGUGAGUCUUAUGAAAUUUUGUUGAACUCAGAAGAAUCACUUCCUCCUUCGAGUGGCACGUUGGCAAGGUCGGCAACAAGAGUUGAAAAUGAAAACAAUUUUUUGAAUAAAGAUAAGAUGGGUGAGGCAAUUACUACAAACGAUUCUGCUUUGUGGGCUGAAAAUAUCUCCAAAGUAGAACGCGAUGCAGUUGUUCUUCAGGGGUCUCCUGAAAAUGUUUAUCUUUUCCGAGAGACUCGAACAAGAUUAAGGUUCCUGAAUCAGUUUUUCACGAAAUAACUCGUAAUGGGAAGAAAAUAAACAGAGAUUGGCUUGUUUGGGUUGCAACUUCAAAAUCAUUUCUUUGCUUCCCGUGCUCACUUUUUUGAAGCAAACUAGCCUGCGGGGCUUGUAAUAAUUCACAUCUUCUACUUUGGAAUGGUGGCAUCAAUGGAAACUGGAUAAAGCUAGCUGAAAAAGUUAAAAGCCACCAAAACAAUCCUCAUCAUCGAGAUUGUUACAUUAAGUGAAAAACAGCGCUGGAAAGCUUGGGAAAUCAAUGUGGGAUUGAUUCAAGUUUAGAAAAAUUGAUAAAAAAUGAGGCAGCGAGGUGGCGUGAAACUUUAGAGUGCAUUUUAAAUGUAAUUCUCUUUUUAGCAUCACGCAACCUUAGCCUCAGAGGUUCAUCAAAAAUGAUCGGUGAUGACGAUAACGAAAAUUUUCUUGCAACUCUAUAGCUAUUCGCAAAGCACAACAAGACUCUUCAGUUACAUCUAGAAGAGGUUUCUUGCUGCCAACAAGAAGGUAAACAAAUUGUUGCGCAUUAUUUGGGUUGGAGUUCUCAAAAUGAAUUUAUAAAAGAGUGCGGAAGAAUUGUCCACGGUGCCAUCAUUAAAGAGGCGCAGUUUACUAUUCCAUUCUUGCCGACGGAACGCCUGACAUUUCUCAUACUGAGCAAAUUAUAUUUGCUCUCCGCUUUGUCUACUAUGGUGUUGAUAAAAAAUGGGUAGUUAAGGAUCGCUUAGGGUCGAAAAUCUCGCUAAAAAGAAAGGUGUGGAUAUUGCUAAGCUAAUUAUGGAUGUCUUGGAUCAAUCUUGGAUCAAUCAAAAAUGAUAUCGAUCUGAAGAACUGUUAAGGUUAGGGAUAUGACAACGGUGCCAAUAUGUCUGGUGUGUACAAAGGAGUACAAGCGAUCAUUCUUCAGAGAAACCCUCAAGCUUUCUACAUGCCAUGCAGCGCUCAUAACCUUAAUCUAGCUGGUGUUCAUUCCCUUGAAUCUGCUGUAAAAAUGAAGAACUAUUUUGGCCAGAUUCAGUUAAGUUAACUCUUGCGGUUACUUAAGUAACCCUUGCGGUUACUUAAGUAACCCUUGCGGUUACUUAAGUAACCCUUGCGGUUACUUAAGUAACCCUUGCGGUUACUUAAGUAACCCUUGCGGUUACUUAAGUAACCCUUGCGGUUACUUAAGUAACCCUUGCGGUUACUUAAGUAACCCUUGCGGUUACUUAAGUAACCCUUGCGGUUACUUAAGUAACCCUUGCGGUUACUUAAGUAACCCUUGCGGUUACUUAAGUAACCCUUGCGGUUACUUAAGUAACCCUUGCGGUUACUUAAGUAACCCUUGCGGUUACUUAAGUAACCCUUGCGGUUACUUAAGUAACCCUUGCGGUUACUUAAGUAACCCUUGCGGUUACUUAAGUAACCCUUGCGGUUACUUAAGUAACCCUUGCGGUUACUUAAGUAACUUCAAAGUUACUUAAGUAACCGCAAACAGUUUGUUUAUAGUAAUGAAGUUAACCCACCUACUUUAUUCAGCAUAACCUGUGGGGUUCCGCAGGGCUCGAUAUUAGGACCCCUUUUCUUUCUUAUUUAUAUUAAUGAUCUUCAUAAAGCUUCUAAUUUGAUGUCAGUCAUGUUUGCCGAUGACACUAACCUCUUUUUGUCUGAUAAUAGCAUAACUACAUUAUUUCGAGAUAUGAACAUGGAAUUAACAAAAUUAUCUGAUUGGUUUAAACAAAAUGGACACUUUUUCAUCCAGCGUCUAAAAAAAAACUACUUCUUUGUGAACUACCUUAACAUUUUAUUGAUAAAAUCCAAAUAAAAAGAGUAAUUAGUGCUAAUUUUUUGGAUAUCUAUGUUGAUGAAAACCUUAGUUGGAAAUACCACAUUGAAUUCUUGUGUAAUAAAAUUGCUAAAAGUAUAGGAAUAUUGUAUAAAGCUAGAGGUGUGUUAAAUAAACGUAGUCUAAUUCAGUUAUAUUUCUCUUUUAUCCAUUGUCAUUUAAACUAUGCAAAUAUUGCUUGGUUCAAUGCCAAUAAAUGUAAACUGGAGCCUCUUUAUCCUCAACAGAAGCAUGCUGCUCGUCUUAUUAAUUUUAAAAACAGAUUUACUCAUGUCAAGCCUCUUUUAUUUGAAAUGAAAAUUCUUAAUAUAUAUCAGCUGAAUGUUUUUAAUAUUCUUUGUUUUAUGUAUAAAUGUAAAACUAACUUAUUUCUUUUCUCUAUAAGUGAUAUUUCGGCUCAUAUAGUAAGAGCCAUUAUCAAACUAAUAAAACCGUUAAAAAAACCGGGCCUAUAAAACCGUUAAAAGAUGGAUUUGUGGAAUAUUAUAAAUACUCCACAAAUCCAUCUUGUUCUCAAAAAUUUGAUACCAAAAAUCUAGUUAUUUUACCAUGGGUCCCAAAGUUAGGCCUUGUUCUUAGAAGAGAGUUUCGUAAAGUCGGCGUUAAAACAGUCUUUCGUUUUGGUAAACCCUUAAUCAACAUACUCUGCCGUAACAAGUAUAUACUCCCUCCGAAUAGUCAUCCAGGAGUGCAGCAACUUAAUUGCACAUGUGGUGCAUGUUAUAUUGGUGAAACAAGAAAAAAGAGUUCCACACAAAUUCAAGAACAUAAAAAUAAUGUUACAAAAGCCAACUGGGAAACAUCAGGAAUAGUAGAACACUCAUAACAUUGUAAUGGCAAAAUAAACUGGGAGAACCCUAAAACGCUUUCUUUUAUUUCAAACAACUACACCAAAAAAAUUCGUGAGACUAUUGAAAACAACGUAUCAAUGUUCAAAACCUAAAGAAAACGUUUUAAAUCGCGACAAUGGUGACUCACCAUUGGAAACCAUUCUUUGUAAAAUUAAAAAAUGUUGAAAUCUGACGUUGCAAUGACAUCAUAUGUUUACGUUUAUUAUAAUUUUUUCAACGGUUUUUUCAACGGUUUUAUUAGUUUGAUUAUGGCUCUCACUAUAUGAGCCGAAAUAUCACUUAUAGAGAAAAGAAAUAAAUAGUAUGAUACCGUAUAUGAUGUUUUAAUGCUUAUAAUUACACAUACU